ACAAAACACGAACGUUCUAAGUUAUUAAAAAAAAAACUCUUCAAUAAAUAUGUAGUUUCUAUGAUAUUGUGACAAACAAUAUACUUAGCUUUUUUGAAGGCACUGUAUUACAACAAAAACGAAAAUAAAUCUGAGAGAACUUUCGUCAUUAAACUUUUUUCAAAAUUUUUGCAGUUGUCCAAUGGUUACAAUGGCGAUAUAGAAUAGCAUCUCUCGAUUUCGGGGUUAAAAUGGGUAUGCACGAAUAGAGGAGGUCCUCCAGAUCAAGAAUAUAUACAUAUAUAUGUAUAUAGUUCCCGCCGUCUUAUGGUUUUUGAGAUAUUUGCAUUUAAAGUUCAAAAGAUCAACUAUUUGAAAUGUAUGUUUUUCGGUUUUAUAAUGCAUUUGGCACUUAUAUUUUUAAUUUUUAUAUCCACUAACACUUCACUAAUCAUUUAUUUUAUAUUAAUUAGUGCAAAGCUAUUCUAAAAUUUACCCCAUUAUGGGUUAUCAAACGAUUUUCGAACACUAACACAACUAUGGAUUUUCUUGCAGACCCUAGCUUAAAAUUUUUUAGAAAGAAACGUCCUGGCAGCAUUUGUGUUCCGUCAUUCUGCUUCAUUUUCAAAACGUCAUUUUUUGUUUACGUUCCUAUUCGUAAUUGAAGAAUUGCUAAAAAAAAGUUUGCCAAUUUUUGCUCGUUUGAAGAAUUGUUAUAAAGCAAGGAAAGUUUUAAAAUAUCCAAUAAAAUAAAAUUCAUCUUACUUGCUGGUGUACACUUGUUAUACAUUCUUACAGUUUAGUUUCUGGACUUCUCCUCAUUCUUUGAAGGAAUAUACACACAAUAAUGACUGAAGCAAAGAAGAACGCACUUACAGCUGCUUAUCGCGCACAUAAAUCCCUGCAAUUGGAAUUAACUGACUUUGAGGAUAAUACAGCAUUUGCUGCACACUUGGUAGAACAAUUACGGCGUCUGCCUACAGACAGCCGUGUUAACGCCAUGGCCGGUAUAUUAGCAAUACUGAAUCGCUUUGUACGUGUACAAGGAGAAACUCAGUAAGCAAUUUGCAUGGAGAUUUAUUUCGCCGGUUCAUCGUCCGCAUACUGCGUACCUAUAAGGAUAUCGUAAGAGGGCGGUGACGGUGAAAGCAAAAUAUGUUAAGGGAAAUGUGUUGCUAAAAGCAUCAAAUCUUUGGAGGUGUUCCUAAUGUGCGUUUAAAUAUUUUGUUGUGUGUCCUGUUUUCUUGUAAGACAUGGCAUAUGUGCUACCUAUUUUUCUUUUAUAGAACUCUAUUGAAAGUAUGACGUCGAUGUUCGAGUUAUGAGGGAGUAUAAUGUAAUAGUUAGCAUGAUUUUCCGAUUCAUCACAAACAUUCAUACAUAUAUUUUUGUUACAUUAAAACACAUCGAAAAAACUGUAAUAAGUAUUUAAUUUAAUAUAUAGAAUAUAUCAAUCAUUUUGCAAAAUAGUAUGAUUUAAAUAAUCAAAUUAAA